rnacentral:rRNA from 1 species
AUGGUGGCCGUGGCGGUGCUUGCGCCGUGGCUAGCAUGGCUCGUCGUCUCCUUGCUCUCUGUCUACCUCCUCAACCUCCUCACCCAUGCGCGCUCCGGCCUCCCGCCGGGCCCGCGCCCGCUGCCACUCAUAGGCAGCCUCCACCUCCUCGGCGACAGGCCGCACCGCUCCCUCGCACGCCUGGCCAGGACCCACGGCGCCCCGCUCAUGUCCCUCCGGCUCGGCUCGGUCACCACGGUGGUCGCCUCAUCCCCCGCCAUGGCCCGUGAAUUCCUGCAGAGGCACGACGCCGCGUUCGCCACCCGGUCC